rnacentral:rRNA from 1 species
GAGUUUGAUCUUGGCUCAGAACGAACGCUGGCGGCAUGCCUAACACAUGCAAGUCGAACGAACUCUUCGGAGUUAGUGGCGCACGGGUGCGUAACGCGUGGGAAUCUGCCCUUGGGUACGGAAUAACUCAGAGAAAUUUGUGCUAAUACCGUAUAAUGACUUCGGUCCAAAGAUUUAUCGCCCAAGGAUGAGCCCGCGUAAGAUUAGCUAGUUGGUGGGGUAAAGGCCUACCAAGGCUACGAUCUUUAGCUGGUCUGAGAGGAUGAUCAGCCACACUGGGACUGAGACACGGCCCAGACUCCUACGGGAGGCAGCAGUGGGGAAUAUUGGACAAUGGGCGAAAGCCUGAUCCAGCAAUGCCGCGUGAGUGAUGAAGGCCUUAGGGUUGUAAAGCUCUUUUACCCGGGAUGAUAAUGACAGUACCGGGAGAAUAAGCUCCGGCUAACUCCGUGCCAGCAGCCGCCGUAAG